rnacentral:lncRNA from 1 species
CGGGGCCCUGGGGGCGGGCUCUGCGGCCUGUGGCUGCAGAGGGACGCAAGAGCAUAAACUGAAAUCCCACAUCCCCGUGGAGGAACUUGGAGAUAAGAUGCAAAGCGCAGCAAAUAGGAGCCACUCUUUCAGAGAUGACAGACCACCUGGUUUCGAGGAGCAGCAGACAGCGUGAAUGAAUGAAGUUGGCCAGGUAAAGAACUGAAAUGCAGACAGGAAAUGGGACUUGCCUGACAUGGAGCAGGUGUUCUGUGUGUUGACUGGAAUCACCUGGGAAGUUUUAGUCCUGUGAUACCACCUGGAACCACAGACAGAGUGAGGACACAGCAAGAAGAUGAUCAUCUGCAAGCCAAGAAGAGGGGUCUCACCAGAAUCCUAUAAUGCUGGCACCCUGAUAUUUUACUUUCCACCUUCCAUAAAUGUGAGAAAUAAAUGUCUAGGCCACCCAGUCUACGGUAUUUUGUUAUCUUGAACUGACUAAUA